rnacentral:lncRNA from 1 species
UUGGAGGUCGCCUCUCAAAUAUCGAGAGUAAUCAUGCAACACAUGUUUACUUCGAGUAUCAUGUAUAUGUUUCUUAGGUUGGGUUGAAUGCAUUUAUAAGGACAGUGUCAAUUUUUGUUCGUCUACUUGUGUGGUGACAUAAUAUCAAAGAUUCUAGUCAUGUACUUCAGAGUUAGAAUGGUGUCAAAUGGUGAAAAAGUAUGGAGUUUAAACUCAUACAUAUGAUUGCAUUGUCUUGUGAUUGUUCUAUUGAAGGUGAUAAUAAUUUUUAUUAGAUGAUUUGAUGUUAUAAUGAGAUAUUUAUUUUCCUUGAAUGAUUUUAAUGUUAUAAUAUAAUAUUAUUUUCUUAAAUAUUUUGAUAUACC